GCGAUUAUCACGGGGUGCUGAAAGAUUCGGCUGAGAUGAUACCCAUUGAACCUGAUGCAGGUAAUGCUGUCGCAGGGAUAUUUGAUAGCGCUUUA
rfam:Prevotella copri strain 2789STDY5834881 genome assembly, contig: SCcontig000849